GAUGAACGCUGGCGGCGUGCCUAAUACAUGCAAGUCGAGCGAACAGACGAGGAGCUUGCUCCUCUUACGUUAGCGGCGGACGGGUGAGUAACACGUGGAUAACCUACCUAUAAGACUGGGAUAACUUCGGGAAACCGGAUCUAAUACCGGAUAAUAUAUUGAACCGCAUGGUUCAUUAGUGAAAGACGGUUUUGCUGUCACUUAUAGAUGUAUCCGCGCCGCAUUAGCUAGUUGGUAAGGUAACGGCUUACCAAGGCGACGAUGCGUAGCCGACCUGAGAGGGUGAUCAGCCACACUGGAACUGAGACACGGUCCAGACUCCUACGGGAGGCAGCAGUAGGGAAUCUUCCGCAAUGGGCGAAAGCCUGACGGAGCAACGCCGCGUGAGUGAUGAAGGUCUUCGGAUCGUAAAACACUGUUAUUAGGGAAGAACAAAUGUGUAAGUAACUAUGCACGUCUUGACGGUACCUAAUCAGAAAGCCACGGCUAACUACGUG
rnacentral:rRNA from 1 species